rnacentral:snRNA from 1 species
CUCGCUCUCAGCACUUUGGCUAAGGUGAUGUGUAGUAUGUGUUAUCAAUUUAAUAAGUGAUAGGUCCUGUAUGAGAGGCCUUUAUAUCAAGGGGAUUGUUGGGCAUGGUAAUAGGACCUGGAGUUUGGUGGGUCUGCUCUGUGCAUGGUCCCACUACUGCAGUGCCUCUGGGAACAGCACACCCUAU